AGUGAACGCUGGCGGUAGGCCUAACACAUGCAAGUCGAACGGCAGCACAGUAAGAGCUUGCUCUUACGGGUGGCGAGUGGCGGACGGGUGAGGAAUACAUCGGAAUCUACUUUUUCGUGGGGGAUAACGUAGGGAAACUUACGCUAAUACCGCAUACGACCUACGGGUGAAAGCAGGGGAUCUUCGGACCUUGCGCGAUUGAAUGAGCCGAUGUCGGAUUAGCUAGUUGGCGGGGUAAAGGCCCACCAAGGCGACGAUCCGUAGCUGGUCUGAGAGGAUGAUCCGCCACACUGGAACUGAGACACGGUCCAGACUCCUACGGGAGGCAGCAGUGGGGAAUAUUGGACAAUGGGCGCAAGCCUGAUCCAGCCACACCGCGUAGGUGCAGAAGGCCUUCGGGUUGUAAAGCCCUUUUGUUGGGAAAGAAAAGCAGCAGGUUAAUACCCCGCUGUUCUGACGGUACCCAAAGAAUAAGCACCGGCUAACUUCGUG
rnacentral:rRNA from 1 species